UACGAAGGGUGCAAGCGUUAUCCGGAUUCAUUGGGUUUAAAGGGUGCGUAGGCGGGGCCAUAAGUCAGUGGUGAAAUCUUGCGGCUUAACCGUAAAAUUGCCAUUGAUACUGUGGUUCUUGAGUAUGCUCGACGUAGGCGGAAUGUGCCGUGUAGCGGUGAAAUGCUUAGAUAUGGCACAGAACACCGAUAGUGAAGACAGCUUACGAGGGCAAAACUGACGCUGAGGCACGAAAGCGUGGGGAUCGAACAGG
rnacentral:rRNA from 1 species